rnacentral:rRNA from 1 species
CAGCGCCACGAGUGGGAACCACGAUUAUUGGGCCUAAAGCGUCCGUAGCCGGAUUGGUAAAUCUUUUGUGAAAGCGUUGUGCUAAACAUAACGAAUUGCAUGAGACACUGCCAAUCUUGAGACCGGGAGGGGUUAGAGGUAUUCCAGGGGGACUGGUAAAAUGGACUAAUCCCUGGAGGACCACCGAUGGCGAAGGCAUCUAACCAGAACGGAUCUGACGGUGAGGGACGAAAGCUAGGGGAGCGAACCGGAUUAGAUACCCGAGUAGUCC